rnacentral:rRNA from 1 species
AUUGAACGCUGGCGGCAGGCCUAACACAUGCAAGUCGAGCGGAUGAAGGGAGCUUGCUCCUGGAUUCAGCGGCGGACGGGUGAGUAAUGCCUAGGAAUCUGCCUGGUAGUGGGGGAUAACGUCCGGAAACGGGCGCUAAUACCGCAUACGUCCUGAGGGAGAAAGUGGGGGAUCUUCGGACCUCACGCUAUCAGAUGAGCCUAGGUGGGAUUAGCUAGUUGGUGGGGUGAAGGCCUACCAAGGCGACGAUCCGUAACUGGUCGGAGAGGAUGAUCAGCCACCUUGGAACGGGAACAGCGUCAAGACUCCUGAGGGAGGGAGCAGAGGGGAAUAGGGGACAAUGGGCGAGAGUAUGAUACAGUCAGCCGGAGUGUGAGAAGAAGGUGUUGGGAGCGUGAAGCACGCUAAGUGGGGAGGAAGGGCAGUAGGUUAAGACCAUGCGGUUUUGACGGUACCGAGAGAAGAAGCACCGGCUAACUUCGUG